rnacentral:sRNA from 2 species
CUACCUUUAUCGGGCCCCUGUGUGCCGCAGUCAUUACAUUGGCGGCAUUUAUGAUAAGCCAAUGGUAUGCUAGCCGGCUAAGCUCCGUCGUGGAGCCUGUGCUGCCAUGGCACUUUUGCCAGAGCAAACUCAUCGUGGGUCUUUCAUUAAGCUCGUUUAUGACGGGAGCUGUCAGCAUUACAUGCAUAAUCCAAAUUCCCAUUCGCUAUCAGACAGCGGUUGGCGGCACCCCUCUCCAAGCUGGCAUUAAGCUCAUCCCUCUUGCAUUGAGUACACCACCA